rnacentral:rRNA from 1 species
GAGUUUGAUCAUGGCUCAGAUUGAACGCUGGCGGCAGGCCUAACACAUGCAAGUCGAACGGUAACAGGAAGAAGCUUGCUUCUUUGCUGACGAGUGGCGGACGGGUGAGUAAUGUCUGGGAAACUGCCUGAUGGAGGGGGAUAACUACUGGAAACGGUAGCUAAUACCGCAUAACGUCGCAAGACCAAAGAGGGGGACCUUCGGGCCUCUUGCCAUCGGAUGUGCCCAGAUGGGAUUAGCUAGUAGGUGGGGUAACGGCUCACCUAGGCGACGAUCCCUAGCUGGUCUGAGAGGAUGACCAGCCACACUGGAACUGAGACACGGUCCAGACUCCUACGGGAGGCAGCAGUGGGGAAUAUUGCACAAUGGGCGCAAGCCUGAUGCAGCCAUGCCGCGUGUAUGAAGAAGGCCUUCGGGUUGUAAAGUACUUUCAGCGGGGAGGAAGGGAGUAAAGUUAAUACCUUUGCUCAUUGACGUUACCCGCAGAAGAAGCACCGGUUAACUCCGUGCCAGCAGCCGCGGUAAUACGGAGGGUGCAAGCGUUAAUCGGAACUACUGGGCGUAAAGCGCACGCAGGCGGUUUGUUAAGUCAGAUGUGAAAUCCCCGGGCUCAACCUGGGAACUGCAUCUGAUACUGGCAAGCUUGAGUCUCGUAGAGGGGGGUAGAAUUCCAGGUGUAGCGGUGAAAUGCGUAGAGAUCUGGAGGAAUACCGGUGGCGAAGGCGGCCCCCUGGACGAAGACUGACGCUCAGGUGCGAAAGCGUGGGGAGCAAACAGGAUUAGAUACCCUGGUAGUCCACGCCGUAAACGAUGUCGACUUGGAGGUUGUGCCCUUGAGGCGUGGCUUCCGGAGCUAACGCGUUAAGUCGACCGCCUGGGGAGUACGGCCGCAAGGUUAAAACUCAAAUGAAUUGACGGGGGCCCGCACAAGCGGUGGAGCAUGUGGUUUAAUUCGAUGCAACGCGAAGAACCUUACCUGGUCUUGACAUCCACGGAAGUUUUCAGAGAUGAGAAUGUGCCUUCGGGAACCGUGAGACAGGUGCUGCAUGGCUGUCGUCAGCUCGUGUUGUGAAAUGUUGGGUUAAGUCCCGCAACGAGCGCAACCCUUAUCCUUUGUUGCCAGCGGUCCGGCCGGGAACUCAAAGGAGACUGCCAGUGAUAAACUGGAGGAAGGUGGGGAUGACGUCAAGACAUCAUGGCCCUUACGACCAGGGCUACACACGUGCUACAAUGGCGCAUACAAAGAGAAGCGACCUCGCGAGAGCAAGCGGACCUCAUAAAGUGCGUCGUAGUCCGGAUUGGAGUCUGCAACUCGACUCCAUGAAGUCGGAAUCGCUAGUAAUCGUGGAUCAGAAUGCCACGGUGAAUACGUUCCCGGGCCUUGUACACACCGCCCGUCACACCAUGGGAGUGGGUUGCAAAAGAAGUAGGUAGCUUAACCUUCGGGAGGGCGCUUACCACUUUGUGAUUCAUGACUGGGGUGAAGUCGGAACAAGGUA